CAACUUUCAACAACGGAUCUCUUGGCUCUCGCAUCGAUGAAGAACGCAGCGAAAUGCGAUAAGUAAUGUGAAUUGCAGAAUUCAGUGAAUCAUCGAAUCUUUGAA
rnacentral:rRNA from 7 species